rnacentral:rRNA from 1 species
UACAGAGGGUGCGAGCGUUAAUCGGAAUUACUGGGCGUAAAGGGCGCGUAGGCGGCCUGCUAAGUCGGACGUGAAAUCCCUCGGCUCAACCGGGGAACUGCGUCCGAUACUGGUGGGCUCGAAUCCGGGAGAGGGAUGUGGAAUUCCAGGUGUAGCGGUGAAAUGCGUAGAUAUCUGGAGGAACACCGGUGGCGAAGGCGGCAUCCUGGACCGGUAUUGACACUGAGGCGCGAAAGCCAGGGGAGCAAACGGG